AUUGAACGCUGGCGGCAGGCCUAACACAUGCAAGUCGAGCGGAGCGGCGGACGGGUGAGUAAUGCCUAGGACUCUGCCUGGUAGUGGGGGAUAACGUCCGGAAACGGGCCCUAAUCCCGCAUACUAUCAGAUGAGCCUCGGUCGGAUUAGCUAGUUGGUGGGGUAAAGGCCUACCAAGGCGACGAGCCGUAACUGGUCUGCGAGGAUGAUCAGACACACUGGAACUGAGAAACGGUCCCGACUCCUACGAGAGGCAGAAGUGGGGAAUAUUGGGCAAUGGGCGGAAGCCUUAUCCAGCCAUGCCGCGUGUGGGAAGAAGGUCCUCGGAUUGUAAAGCACUUUAAGUUGGGAGGCGUUACCAACAGAAUAAGCACCGGCUAACUUCGUGCCAGCAGCCGCGGUAAUUC
rnacentral:rRNA from 1 species